rnacentral:rRNA from 1 species
GACGAACGCUGGCGGCGUGCCUAAUACAUGCAAGUUGAGCGCUGAAGGUUGGUACUUGUACCAACUGGAUGAGCAGCGAACGGGUGAGUAACGCGUGGGGAAUCUGCCUUUGAGCGGGGGACAACAUUUGGAAACGAAUGCUAAUACCGCAUAAAAACUUUAAACACAAGUUUUAAGUUUGAAAGAUGCAAUUGCAUCACUCAAAGAUGAUCCCGCGUUGUAUUAGCUAGUUGGUGAGGUAAAGGCUCACCAAGGCGAUGAUACAUAGCCGACCUGAGAGGGGGAUCGGCCACAUUGGGACUGGAACACGGCCCAAACCCCUACGGGAGGCAGCAGUAGGGAAUCUUCGGCAAUGGACGAAAGUCUGACCGAGCAACGCCGCGUGAGUGAAGAAGGUUUUCGGAUCGUAAAACUCUGUUGGUAGAGAAGAACGUUGGUGAGAGUGGAAAGCUCAUCAAGUGACGGUAACUACCCAGAAAGGGACGGCUAACUACGUG